CGAUCGUUGUCACGUGAGUGUUGGACUUACGGUUGCCAGCCUACAUUAUUGAGAAUCACUUCCAGCCAGAAGCUCCACCUUUUGCUGCAAUUUUUGGUUUGAACGCGCUCUUCUCGGCUAAAAAAAGGUUUUUGUUGAUUCCAUUCAGCUAUCACAGCCUGGAGCCAGUGAAGCUGACAUUGUUUCCCGGAUGGCGGCCUAUUUGCGUUCAGCGCCAGACAGGAAAGGUGGUGGUGGUCGCAAGACAGCUCAAAAUGUUUAAUGACUGCAAAAUCUAUAAAGUAUUUCACUUUAGUUCAUUGCUGUUGUUUGUGUACAAUUUAUAGUUCACAUAUUUGUAGUCAGUUGCCUGUUAAACUACACAGCUGUUGAAAUCAAUGUUUUGGAAUGUUUUAGAAUAAAAAUGUUUUGUUAUA